GUCCACGCCCUAAACGAUGGGUACUAGACGUCGGGAAGCUUGUCUUCUUGGUGUCGCAGCUAACGCAAUAAGUACCCCGCCUGGGGAGUACGGUCGCAAGAUUAAAACUCAAAGGAAUUGACGGGGGCCCGCACAAGCGGUGGAGCAUGUGGUUCAAUUCGAUGCAACGCGAAAACCUUACCUGCCCUUGACAUCUGGGGAAUCCUGCAGAGAUGCGGGAGUGCCGCAAGGAACCCCAAGACAGGUGCUGCAUGGCUGUCGU
rnacentral:rRNA from 1 species